AUGAUCACAACCUGCGAUCAUGAAAGACUUGAGCGGGAGACAUGAAAAAUGUGCAAUGCCUUCCCCAGGACUCGAAGCUGGACCUCUCGAAUACGCGCCGAGUGGGCUAACGUUACACCACGGAGACAUGCUGGAAAGAGAGAGAAAGUCAAGAAAUAUGGAGCGUAGAGAAGAAAGAAUACAGUGCUCGAAAAGAACAAGGAUAAGUCGAAAAGCUGUGUCAUAAAAUCAUCUCCUUUUCAUUUAUUCUUGCUUCCAAAACUCUGGAAGGAUGUUUGAUUUUUAACUUCUAGGGUCCAGUUUGUCCGCCCCUCCCAAAAAAAAAACUGGAUUGACCAAACUGCUUCACCAAAAUUGGAUUUACUAAUUGACUGGUCCAAAAGAUUUAGUACAAAAAUACAGACAGCGAAUCAGAUGUUUGGUCCGUUGAAGUUCAUUUCAGCGGAGUUGGACUGUAUUGAAAUUAUGAAAUCACCUUAAUUGGUUAUUUCUACCUUCUUUUAAAAUCUCCCACUUGCGAGUAAAUGCAUUAUUUGCACAGUAAAAAAUGAAAUGCUUAUUUCUGCGAGGAAAAAUUAUUUCAUUUAUAAAUUUUUAUAUUGCGUAGAAACGAAACCAAAUGUUAGCGAGUGAAAUGCUUGCAGUUAAGAAUUAAGCUUGUUCUAGUACAUUUGAAAUUAAAAAAAAUUGUUUUUGUGUA